GACGAACGCUGGCGGCGUGCUUAACACAUGCAAGUCGAACGGAAAGGCCCUGCUUUUGUGGGGUGCUCGAGUGGCGAACGGGUGAGUAACACGUGAGUAACCUGCCCUUGACUUUGGGAUAACUUCAGGAAACUGGGGCUAAUACCGGAUAGGAGCUCCUGCUGCAUGGUGGGGGUUGGAAAGUUUCGGCGGUUGGGGAUGGACUCGCGGCUUAUCAGCUUGUUGGUGGGGUAGUGGCUUACCAAGGCUUUGACGGGUAGCCGGCCUGAGAGGGUGACCGGCCACAUUGGGACUGAGGGACGGCCCAGACUGCUACGGGAGGCAGCAGUGGGGAAUAUUGCACAAUGGGCGGAAGCCUGAUGCAGCAACGCCGCGUGCGGGAUGACGGCCUUCGGGUUGUAAACCGCUUUCGCCUGUGACGAAGCGUGAGUGACGGUAAUGGGUAAAGAAGCACCGGCUAACUACGUG
rnacentral:rRNA from 1 species